UUUCCUUCCGUAGCACAUACUGAAGCUUUAGCAGCCUGAAAGGGCGAAUGCUAGCGACUAUAAAUAAAUAUGGCGUUCUUAAAUGCUAGUCUCUAUUAUCAGAGGCGACAUUGCCAAAUUGUCGGGGACAUCCUAAAGAUCUUGAUACCAAGCUGGCAGUCGAAAGAUGCCAGUGGCCGAGCUAACAGCCCUGGGUAUGGUAAUAAUUCAAGAUAUGCAACAAUGGGUAAUCCGCAGCCAAGUCCUAAACUACGCAAGUAGCAUGGAUGCAGUUCACAGGCCAAAUGGUGAUGGGUAGGUUAUUAAAUCUGCUUAAGAUAUGGUCGGUCCCGCUGUGAGAGCAGAUGGGAAGCUACAAAUGUAUACUCUAUUGCAUUCUUACUAUGGACGAACAUUGAUGAAUGCUGAAGAGUGCGCAUAAACGUAACUGACAACGUUCCGUAGGUGAACCUGCGGAAGGAUCAUUA
rnacentral:rRNA from 1 species